rnacentral:rRNA from 1 species
CGUAGGACGGGCGGGACCGGGGUGAGCAACGCGUGGGUAACCUGCCUCAUACAGGGGGAUAACAGUUGGAAACGGCUGCUAAUACCGCAUAAGCGCACAGUACCGCAUGGUACGGUGUGAAAAACUCCGGUGGUAUGAGAUGGACCCGCGUCUGAUUAGGUAGUUGGUGGGGUAACGGCCUACCAAGCCGACGAUCAGUAGCCGACCUGAGAGGGUGACCGGCCACAUUGGGACUGAGACACGGCCCAA